GAUUCACAGAUUAAUCUCUUGAGGUCCUGGAUGCCUCAUCCCUUAGUUUCAACACCAGAUUGAAAUGGUUUGCCAUCUGCUUCGUAUGUGGCAUUUUCUUUUCUAUUCUUGGAACUGGAUUGCUGUGGCUUCCGGGAGGCAUAAAGCUUUUUGCAGUGUUUUAUACCCUCGGCAAUCUUGCUGCGUUAGCCAGUACAUGCUUUUUAAUGGGACCUGUGAAGCAACUGAAGAAAAUGUUUGAAGCAACAAGAUUGCUUGCAACAAUUGUUAUGCUCUUGUGUUUCGUAUUUACCCUGUGUGCUGCUCUUUGGUGGCAUAAGAAGGGACUGGCUGUGUUAUUCUGCAUAUUGCAGUUCUUGUCAAUGACCUGGUAAGUCUUUCCUUACCCUAGUGAAGUGUUAAAAUUGCCUGAGAUGUGACGAGCAUUUUGUUUGGGACCUGUGAAGCCCUAGCAUUUCGUCUGGUGUUUUGGAGCCAGACAGGCCCUGCAGGGUCAGAGGAGGGGAGGUCUGCGAUGAGUCCUGUUGCACUUGACAGCGUGGCUCA
rnacentral:sRNA from 1 species